AGGGGUAUAGCUCAGUGGUAGAGCGUUUUACUGCAGAUCACGAGGUCCCUGGUUCAAAUCUGGGUUCCCCCU
rfam:Larimichthys crocea isolate SSNF unplaced genomic scaffold scaffold319, whole genome shotgun sequence.